rnacentral:sRNA from 1 species
CUCACUUUAGAGACGAGGAAUCCAAAGUCAGAUCAUCAGGUUACAAAGAUCAAGGGAGCGCGAGACUCAAAUCGCCUGCGCUGAUGUUGGAUCAGGCUGAAAUAUGUCGCUUCCAGUGCUUUGCCUCUCUUCAUUGGCUGAGGCGGCUCAAGACC